rnacentral:rRNA from 1 species
AUUGAACGCUGGCGGAAUGCUUUACACAUGCAAGUCGAACGGCAGCACGGGGCAACCUGGUGGCGAGUGGCGAACGGGUGAGUAAUACAUCGGAACGUGCCCAAUCGUGGGGGGAUAACGUAGCGAAAGUUACGCUAAUACCGCAUACGAUCUACGGAUGAAAGCGGGGGAUCGCAAGACCUCGCGCGAUUGGAGCGGCCGAUGUCAGAUUAGGUAGUUGGUGGGGUAAAGGCUCACCAAGCCGACGAUCUGUAGCUGGUCUGAGAGGACGACCAGCCACACUGGGACUGAGACACGGCCCAUACUCCUACGGAGGCAGCAGUGGGGAAUUUUACGGCAAUGGGCGAAAGCCUGACGUAGCGACACCGCGUGAGCGAAGAAGCCCCUUGGGGUGUAAAGCUCUGUCAGCUGG